UCGGUUCUCGUUAGAUCACCGAAGUCAAGCAUCAUUGGACGCGGUCAGUACUUGGGUGGGUGACCACCUGGGAACACCGCGUGCCGUUU